AUGAAGGUUAUAUAAAUAUCUUUUGAUACAUAUGUCUUGGCGCAGCUGCUAUCCCUGAAUUGAUGUCCAAGCCAACGGAGGCGGUUCCACCAGCUGGAUCAAUGGUUCGUUCAGGCACUGAGGUCAUCAGUUCCCGUGGUGGUCGCCGUUGUGCUGUACGUGACGCCGUCCCAGGUUUUGAUGGUCAUAGCCAUGCUUUACCUGCUGCGACAUCCCCGGUUCCGCAGCAGGAUGCCCUCCGUGCCUUUCAACUUCUAUAGGAGACUGCCUGCCAAGUCUGAUAUGCUCCUUUAAGAUCCAGUAUUCACCAUCAGAGAAACAGGUGCAAGUCUUACUUAUUUAUGUUUGUUCCGCUCUGUUCCUUCUGGUUAGCAUCAGAUCCGAUGUGAAUAUACCUGAUGAGUUCAUAUAUUAGAGGUCAUUAGUAUCCCCAGAAUAAGGUGUCGGUUUAAUGGUUUAUUUCCUUGGUUAUGCCAAAGAAAGGGAACAAUUGGAUCCCUUUUGAGUUUUGGGAUAUAGUGGGAGGAGGUUUUUGGUGCAGAAUUGUAAUAUUAACUUCAGGUUAUUAGCAUAGAACUAAAGGCAGGAACAAUAUUAUCCCCCCGUGUAUUAUGUUUGUACUAUUUGUGUCAAUUUUGCUUGUGUUUCAGUGAUCUUUUGCCUGCAGUUGGGUCAUGCUGUUUGUAUUUAUGUGUUCGAAUCCCUCACCUUGUUUGGGUUCACUGGACAUGCCUGCUUGCUGCGCUUCAUAUCGGAGAUCUGUGUGCCGUCCUCGCUCUUCACCAGCCGCUUCUACAUCUGCUCCGAGAGCGACUACCAGGACCUGCUGCGCAACACGGAUGCCAACCAGACGGCGCUCGACAGGAACAUAGGUACACAGUGCCAACGUUGCCUCCGUCGGCCAUGAAGAGGGUGUACUCUAAACUGCUUACAUUUACAUGCUUCAUUCCAGGUACCUUUUACUUUGGUACCUUUGGCACUGUCCUGAGUCAUCAUCAUCUAUGGUCUGUGCCUUUAUGAAUGAGCGGCAGAGCGGGCACCCCGUUUCUCCCAGCCUCCCAGGUAGUGCGAUGCCUUUACUGGCAAAGGAUGUGCCGAGCACCUGUAUGAGCAGCGACAUCCACCGGUUUAUUUUCGUCCUGCAAAAUGCCAGUGCACGUUCAUGCUCCCAGCGACAUGAAGAUUUCAGGGCCAUGGGUACAUGAAGUCUUUCAAAUUUGAUCAAUGUAUCAGGUACAAAUUGCACCUUAUAGGGGCAAAAUUUGCACAAGCCGGCAUGUAUACCCGUGUUUGUAUCAGGUACAAAUUGCACCUUAUCAGGUACAAAUUUCAAAUUUGAUCAAUGUAUCAGGUACAGAUUUCAGGGCCACGGGUACAAAUUGCACCUUAUCAGGUACCCGUUUUAGAGUGUUUUGUAGAAUACAGAGAAUAUUCAUUUAAAAGAUAAAAUUUAAAGUACGCAGCAGUCUCGUUCCCCUCCGACUGUGGACCCAAGCCUCAAGGUUCUCUAUCUCCAGGUGACCCCUCCGCCUCGAUCCCGUAGGAUUUUCCAGCUGAUUUCUUCGCCAAGCGGCAUGUAUACCUGUGUUUGUGAACGAUUUGGGCUUGCCGCCCGCCGCUUGUGAUGUGAUCCGGUACUUUUUGGUGAAUAUUGCGGAGUGCUAUGCGUACAAAGAAACAUCAUGCGGAGAGCACAAUGGAGCCACAUUCAGUUAUAUGUUACAUAGCUUCUUUUAAAAGGUAAAGGGUAGAUGGAUGAUAA